GCUAUAUCACGUUGAAACACUUGUUCUCGUACGAUCACAGAAGUUAAACAACAACGAGCCUGAUCGGUACCUAGAUGAGUGACCGCUUGAGAAUACCAGGGACUGUAAG